UACAGGGGGUGCAAACGUUGCUCGGAAUCAUUGGGCGUAAAGCGCACGUAGGCGGUUCGUUAUGUCGGAUGUGAAAGCCCUUGGCUUAACCGAGGAAGUGCAUCCGAAACUGGCGAGCUAGAGUACGAAAGAGGAUCGCGGAAUUCCCGGUGUAGAGGCGAAAUUCGUAGAUAUCGGGAGGAACACCGGUGGCGAAGGCGGCGAUCUGGGUCGAUACUGACGCUGAGGUGCGAAAGCGUGGGGAGCAAACAGGG
rnacentral:rRNA from 1 species